GGUUUAGUGAGAACCAUUGGUGAAGGGUGAAUGGUUGGACUGGAUGAUCCUGUGGGUCUUUUCCAAACUUAGCAAUUCUAUGAUUCUAUGAUUCUAUGAAUCCCUGGGACAGUGAAUAUGAAAUGUUGAUCACCUAGACUUAAAAGCAGUAAUAACCUAUGCAUAAGAAUCUUUUCUACAGAAAAUGAAAUACCGUAUUAAUGAUGGCAACUAUAAAAUUUUGGAAGAAAACUCAUCUAUCUUUCACAACUAUGAAAGCUGCAAAAAACCCACAUAUUACCUCAGAAGUAAUCUCAGUAUUUUAAUUCCCCUGUGGAUGCAGAUGCCUGAGGCUCAGCCCUGAAGCAGACACGUUGUUCAAGCAUCUUGCACAGUCUACAAAGAACUAUGCGUAUUUCUUGAGUCCUAUGGGGAAUGUUUUUGGAGAUCCCUGUCUACCCUUGCUGACAUCACAGGAGCUUAAGCAAUAGUUCCAGGAAGCGUUUUGUGAACCUCUGAUGUCAGUUCUCUGGAUGUAACAUCAGUACUCUGGCAAUAAACUGUUGCCCAGUAUUUGAAGACAAUCCAUGCUCAAGAACUUGACUCAUCCUUUCAGCAGGCUGAAGGAUUUUCUGGAGAUUGCUUAAUGUGACAUUGGCUAGCCCUUUGGAGUUCUACAGUGUCACAGAGUCAGAAUGAUAUUUUAUAGUUGAAACCAGAAGAAACAUCUGCAGGUCACUUGUUCAAGCAAGGACAUUCAGACCAGGGUGAUUUCUAUGCAGAAGACUUACUUUUACCAAAGCAAUUGGAUUUUGAGAAAACUAACGGCACUAACAUGGUGCGUGGAUCUUAGACGGUCUUCGACAGAAAAGACCUUUGUAUUUGGAAAAUUUUCUGCGUUAAACACUAGCAAAUUAUCAAAAUAUCUUAUUAAUGAAUACAUCAAUAAGUGUGAAAUCUGGGUUAUCUGGCUAAAAUCAUUUCUGUUUUCCUCACUUUCAAUUAGGAUAAACAUGAUGAAUUAGAAGUAUGUAUCUAUGAUUUAGCAGUACACUUUCUACAAGAUUCAAUCCAGUAAGUUACAAAUAAGCUUUAAAAUUUGAGACAUCUCUGAAAUACAUUGCGGCUAUAUGCAAAUUAUCAAGUGAAUUUCUUUUUUUCUGGAAUAUAAACUAUUCUAUAAUAAAGUAUUAAUUUAAUUAAAAACUAAUUACUAAAAACUGGUUGCUACUUCCAUCAUAUUUCUAAUGUCAUUAAAGCCCAUCUUUGACCUUA